ACAGGGCUCAAAACUUGUGGUAUCCCGAUAUCCACAGGAUAUCAGAUUUUAAUUUUGGAUACUGGGUAUCAUAAGCUCAGUAUCCCAACUGGAUACUAGGAAAACUUAGAAAGUGCGAUAGUAGAUAAUCAUCUAGACGUUGGGCAUGUUUCCGAACUUCAGUGUCUACGGAUUUUGGCAGAAUAUUUAAAAAAAAACAUUUCACAAACGGUGCUUUCUUUCGUAUCGCCGCAGUGUGUUAUUUUCAAUUUUUUCGAAUUUCAAUACAUAUUUUUAUUAUUGAAA